GGCGAACGGGUGAGUAACACGUGAGUAACCUGCCCUUGACUUUGGGAUAACUUCAGGGAACUGGGGCUAAUACCGGAUAGGAGCUCCUGCUGCAUGGUGGGGGUUGGAAAGUUUCGGCGGUUGGGGAUGGACUCGCGGCUUAUCAGCUUGUUGGUGGGGUAGUGGCUUACCAAGGCUUUGACGGGUAGCCGGCCUGAGAGGGUGACCGGCCACAUUGGGACUGAGAUACGGCCCAG
rnacentral:rRNA from 1 species